GUCAGGAUGGCCGAGCGGUCUAAGGCGCCAGACUCAAGGUGAUCCUUGCCUGCGCUGCGGGUGUGAGUGUUUCUGGUCCUCUCUGAGGGCGUGGGUUCGAAUCCCACUUCUGACA
rnacentral:tRNA from 1 species